rnacentral:rRNA from 1 species
UACGAUGAAGAGUUUGAUCCUGGCUCAGGAUGAACGCUAGCGGCAGGCCUAACACAUGCAAGUCGAGGGGUAACAGGGAGUGCUUGCACUUUGCUGACGACCGGCGCACGGGUGCGUAACGCGUAUACAAUCUACCUUGUACUAGAGAAUAGCCCAGAGAAAUUUGGAUUAAUGCUCUAUAGUCUAUUGUUGUGGCAUCACAUAAAUAGUAAA